rnacentral:rRNA from 1 species
GCUCGAGUGGCGAACGGGUGAGUAACACGUGAGUAACCUGCCCUUGACUUUGGGAUAACUUCAGGAAACUGGGGCUAAUACCGGAUAGGAGCUCCUGCUGCAUGGUGGGGGUUGGAAAGUUUCGGCGGUUGGGGAUGGACUCGCGGCUUAUCAGCUUGUUGGUGGGGUAGUGGCUUACCAAGGCGUGACGGGUAGCCGGCCUGAGAGGGUGACGGCCACAUUGGGACUGAGAUACGGCCCAG